rnacentral:lncRNA from 1 species
AAUAUUACCUCGACAUGAGAGGAUAUGUUUAUAUUGUAAUACAAAUUGUAUUGAAAAUGAAAUGCACUUUCUUCUGGAAUGCCCUAUUUACAAUUACCUCAGAAGAGAUAUCACUGAUUAUAUAAAAAAAUACCCCAGUUUAGAUAGUUUAAAUAUAAAUGAUCUUUUUUCAUGGAUCAUGAUUAAUGAAGAUAGCAGAUUUUUAUCUAUUUUAUGUGCAUACCUGGAUAAAGGCCUGCAACUAAGAAAAUCAGAAAAUUAGUUAAAUACUCUAAAAUAUAUCAAAAUUAUCUCCCCUUGAC